rnacentral:rRNA from 1 species
GAUGAACGCUGGCGGCGUGCCUAAUACAUGCAAGUCGAGCGAACGGACGAGAAGCUUGCUUCUCUGAUGUUAGCGGCGGACGGGUGAGUAACACGUGGAUAACCUACCUAUAAGACUGGGAUAACUUCGGGAAACCGGAGCUAAUACCGGAUGAUAUUUUGAACCGCAUGGUUCAAAAGUGAAAGACGGUCUUGCUGUCACUUAUAGAUGGAUUCGCGCUGCAUUAGCUGGUUGGUAAGGUAACGGCUUGCCAAGGCAACGAUGCAUAGCCGACCUGAGAGGGUGAUCGGCCACACUGGAACUGAGACACGGUCCAGACUCCUACGGGAGGCAGCAGUAGGGAAUCUUCCGCAAUGGGCGAAAGCCUGACGGAGCAACGCCGCGUGAGUGAUGAAGGUCUUCGGAUCGUAAAACUCUGUUAUUAGGGAAGAACAUAUGUGUAAGUAACUGUGCACAUCUUGACGGUACCUAAUCAGAAAGCCACGGCUAACUACGUG